rnacentral:rRNA from 1 species
GACGAACGCUGGCGGCGUGCCUAAUACAUGCAAGUUGAGCGCUGAAGGUUGGUACUUGUACCAACUGGAUGAGCAGCGAACGGGUGAGUAACGCGUGGGGAAUCUGCCUUUGAGCGGGGGACAACAUUUGGAAACGAAUGCUAAUACCGCAUAAAAACUUUAAACACAAGUUUUAAGUUUGAAAGAUGCAAUUGCAUCACUCAAAGAUGAUCCCGCGUUGUAUUAGCUAGUUGGUGAGGUAAAGGCUCACCAAGGCGAUGAUACAUAGCCGACCUGAGAGGGUGAUCGGCCACAUUGGGACUGAGACACGGCCCAAACUCCUACGGGAGGCAGCAGUAGGGAAUCUUCGGCAAUGGACGAAAGUCUGACCGAGCAACGCCGCGUGAGUGAAGAAGGUUUUCGGAUCGUAAAACUCUGUUGGUAGAGAAGAACGUUGGUGAGAGUGGAAAGCUCAUCAAGUGACGGAAACUACCCAGAAAGGGACGGCUAACUACGUG